GUGAGGAAUAUUGGUCAAUGGGCGAGAGCCUGAACCAGCCAAAUCGCGUGAAGGAUGAAGGUAUUAUGUAUUGUAAACUUCUUUUAUCGGGGAAUAAAGUGCGGGACGUGUCCCGUUUUGUAUGUACCCGAAGAAUAAGGAUCGGCUAACUCCGUGCCAGCAGCCGCGGUAAUACGGAGGAUCCAAGCGUUAUCCGGAUUUAUUGGGUUUAAAGGGUGCGUAGGCGGACUGUCAAGUCAGCGGUGAAAGUCCAUGGCUCAACCAUGGAAUUGCCGUUGAAACUGUCGGUCUUGAGUGUAGAUGAGGUAGGCGGAAUUCGUAGUGUAGCGGUGAAAUGCUUAGAUAUUACGAAGAACUCCAAUUGCGUAGGCAGCUUACCAGGCUACAACUGACGCUGAGGCACGAAGGUGCGGGGAUCAAACAGGAUUAGAAACCCGAGUAGUCC
rnacentral:rRNA from 1 species